rnacentral:rRNA from 1 species
AAUGAACGCUGGCGGCGCGCCUAAUACAUGCAAGUCGAGCGAGAAGACGUAGCAAUACGUUUGUAAAGCGGCGAACGGGUGAGGAAUACAUGGGUAACCUACCCUCGAGUGGGGAAUAACUAGCCGAAAGGUUAGCUAAUACCGCGUACGCUCCUUGGACUUCGGUUCAGGGAGGAAAGCGAUACCGUGGGUAUCGCGCUCUUGGUUGGGCUCAUGUCCUAUCAGCUUGUUGGUGAGGAACGGCUCACCAAGGCUUCGACGGGUAGCUGGUCUGAGAGGACGAUCAGCCACACUGGCACUGCGACACGGGCCAGACUCCUACGGGAGGCAGCAGUAAGGAAUAUUGCGCAAUGGGCGAAAGCCUGACGCAGCGACGCCGCGUGGGGGAUGAAGGUCUUC